rnacentral:rRNA from 1 species
AGUCGAACGAGCGAGAGAGAGCUUGCUUUCUCAAGCGAGUGGCGAACGGGUGAGUAACGCGUGAGGAACCUGCCUCAAAGAGGGGGACAGCAGUUGGAAACGACUGCUAAUACCGCAUAAGCCCACAGGUCGGCAUCGACCAGAGGGAAAAGGAGCAAUCCGCUUUGAGAUGGCCUCGCGUCCGAUUAGCUAGUUGGUGAGGUAACGGCCCACCAAGGCAACGAUCGGUAGCCGGACUGAGAGGUUGAACGGCCACAUUGGGACUGAGACACGGCCCAGACUCCUACGGGAGGCAGCAGUGGGGAAUAUUGCACAAUGGGGGAAACCCUGAUGCAGCGACGCCGCGUGGAGGAAGAAGGUCUUCGGAUUGUAAACUCCUGUUGUUGAGGAAGAUAAUGACGGUACUCAACAAGGAAGUGACGGCUAACUACGUGCCAGCAGCCGCGGUAAAACGUAGGUCACAAGCGUUGUCCGGAAUUACUGGGUGUAAAGGGAGCGCAGGCGGGAAGACAAGUUGGAAGUGAAAUCUAUGGGCUCAACCCAUAAACUGCUUUCAAAACUGUUUUUCUUGAGUAGUGCAGAGGUAGGCGGAAUUCCCGGUGUAGCGGUGGAAUGCGUAGAUAUCGGGAGGAACACCAGUGGCGAAGGCGGCCUACUGGGCACCAACUGACGCUGAGGCUCGAAAGUGUGGGUAGCAAACAGGAUUAGAUACCCUGGUAGUCCACACCGUAAACGAUGAUUACUAGGUGUUGGAGGAUUGACCCC